CAGUAGCCGCGGUAAAACGUAGGGUGCAAGCGUUAAUCGGAAUUACUGGGCGUAAAGCGUGCGCAGGCGGUUAUAUAAGACAGAUGUGAAAUCCCCGGGCUCAACCUGGGAACUGCAUUUGUGACUGUAUAGCUAGAGUACGGCAGAGGGGGAUGGAAUUCCGCGUGUAGCAGUGAAAUGCGUAGAUAUGCGGAGGAACACCGAUGGCGAAGGCAAUCCCCUGGGCCUGUACUGACGCUCAUGCACGAAAGCGUGGGGAGCAAACAGGAUUAGAUACCCCGGUAGUCCCUGUCUCUUAUAC
rnacentral:rRNA from 1 species